AACGAACGCUGGCGGCAGGCCUAACACAUGCAAGUCGAGCGAGACCUUCGGGUCUAGCGGCGGACGGGUGAGUAACGCGUGGGAACGUGCCCUUUGCUGCGGAAUAGCCUCGGGAAACUGAGCGUAAUACCGCAUACGCCCUUUUGGGGAAAGAUUUAUCGGCGAAGGAUCGGCCCGCGUUGGAUUAGGUAGUUGGUGGGGUAAUGGCCUACCAAGCCUUCGAUCCAUAGCUGGUUUGAGAGGAUGAUCAGCCACACUGGGACUGAGACACGGCCCAGACUCCUACGGGAGGCAGCAGUGGGGAAUCUUAGACAAUGGGGGCAACCCUGAUCUAGCCAUGCCGCGUGAGUGAUGAAGGCCUUAGGGUUGUAAAGCUCUUUCAGCGGGGAAGAUAAUGACGGUACCAGCAGAAGAAGCCCCGGCUAACUCCGUGCCAGCCGCCGCCGUAACAC
rnacentral:rRNA from 1 species